CAGCCCCUCCCCCCAGUGCCUCUUCAGGUCAGGGGACUGGUGAUGACUUCAUAUCCACAUGCAUUAUUUCACAGGGGCCAGGUAUCCAGGGGGGAAGGUGUGUGAAACUCUUCCCACAAAAUUACUAGUGUGGUUUGUCAGACAAUUUUCACCAACCUCCGGCUCCCUUGGAACAUCAUCCCUUUUAUUAAGUGACUGUUGGCCACUAACUAACCUUCCACAGCCUCUUUCCUCUGUGUCCUGUUGAUAUAAACUAACCUGUGCUCUGGAGUUAUUGACUAAUACAUUACCACGUCCACUCACGGAAAGGUGGCCACCGCUGGGAGUGCUGACCGAGAGAUGCUGCGAGAACUGGCAGAAUCCUUAAAACUAUUCAAAUGACCUCAUUUGAUUAAUAUGGCAGUGGAAGCCCAGAGUUUCAUCACCAGAGCUGUCAAUAACAUGGAGAGAAAAUGAAACCUCGACAAAGCAUGUAUUGACUCGAAUGGCUGAAGAGUACAGAGGUAUCAGCUUCAGUCUGGUGUCUCGGAUUUGGCCCUGCGUUGCCCACUCCUGAUGCAUCUUGUCCAGUGAGGAACAAAACACCCUGCCACCUGCCUGAAGAACAGGAAGAAAAGAAGUUACAGAGGCAGAUUCCAGCGCAUCCAGAGACCGAGAUGUUGAUGCUCAGAGGGAGCUGGGAUCACCAAGACAUGUACUUCCAGAAGCCCCAGGGGACAAGAGUCACACUGACCCAAUUAGUAGAUGUGCUGACAGUGACCACAUGGCAUAGACAUCAGCACCCUGGCUGCCCAUCCAAGAUCCAUCAAAUUGAAGAUAGCACAGCAAAAUCUCACUUUGUGAAACCUGGCACAAGGACUAGAGAAGCCAGAGCAGCAGCAUAUAUCCCAAAACCACCGGAAAAAGCUGGAGAGAAUGGCAUGUUGACCUGUGGUUGGCUAUACCAAUAGUUAUUGUGAGAAGAGACCUCUUCCCCAUCAGAUCCCACCACAUCUGGACACCACUCUCCACCAUAAGCCUGGAGUCUCGCUUCAGCUGGCAACCUUCCACUCAGCCUUCCUUGUGAGGAAAUGCCCUGUUUCUCCUCCAUAUUCUGGAUUCACUCGUUACACCCAGCACCGGCCACCUUAAAUAGAAGCACCCUGAGACAUUCAUACUUCUCAGAAGCUGCCAAAGAAUGUCACCCUUGUGUCACCCUGGGUCACAUAGAACCUGGGUCCACUUCUGAUAGAUGCUGCCUGACCUGGUCAGAGAGUCGCUCCUUCCUCAGUUUUGGUACCCUUCUCCCUGCCUCUCUCAUCCCGGUUGUGACUUUGCCAGUGCCUGCUAUUUGGAUUGCAUGAAGAGGGAGAAGGUUUGGUUGGAGGAAUCGAUGCCUUGGUCUGCUGGGAGGCUGAAACCUGCUCUAACCUAGGCAGAAGGUCACCAACCCUCAUCUCAUGCCCUGCCUUGUCCCCUACCCAUGACUCAAUCGUACCUCUGUGUCUGUCCUAUCCUGGACAGUUGUACUUUAUUUUUUUUCAAUUAAACAGAAUUUGGUUACUUUUUUUUAUUAUUGCAGAGCAAUGCAUUGUUAUUACAAAGACACCAGGAAUAGAGAUAAAUAGAGGAAAAGAAAGUAGCCCCUAUGGUACCUAAUUGAAUGAUAAAUCAACCACUGCCUCAUGUGCCCUGUAGUUCUAUGAACUAUGUAGAUUUAUAUAUAAAAAUGUAAUGGUACCAUAGGUCCCUGGGAAGACUGUUUAUGCCUUCCUCAGAGGACUCCACAUGGGUGGCUCUGGCUUUCCUUGCCUUACCCACAGCAGAGAUGACCCAUGAAUAGCAGUAAAGGGAAGGAGAAUUGGGGGGUGGGGUGGGACUGUCUUUGGGGUGGU
rnacentral:lncRNA from 1 species